AGCAAUUUGCCAGCCAGCGAUCCUUCCACCUCCUCAACCAAAGUACCAACCCCUCAGUCACUCAUGCCUAGAAAUAGAGUUAUCAAGUCUUCACACCUGGCUGGACUGGAAGCAAGCAAAGAAUAUCAUCAUGUGCCCUAAGCCAGAGAGGAAGCAUCUGUACCCACUUCCCAAGGACUACUCCCCCAUCAGAGACAGUUUGGGGAGUCUUGAACAAGGAGAACAAGAAGAGAAAUAAAACAGUAGUACCUCGACAGCAGCACGACUGGGACAGCAUCUGCUGUGUGUCCUAUCUAUGGUUCCUUUCUUCAAGACCAAGAAAGAUGACCUAUCUAUGGAAAAGCAGAAUGGUAACUUGAUCCACUGUCACAAGUAGAAAAACAUUGAAAGAAACAAAUCAACCAGGAGAUCAAGCAAAUUAUGAGACACCAUUACCUUUGAAACCCCAAAGACGAACUUCAUACUGAAGUCAAUGGAAAGACAUAUGAAGCUAUGAUCUGAGGAUGGAGGGAGAAGCCCAUCAGCUCCUGCUGAAGUGGUUCCCAGGUUGCAGAUCCAUAAGGAUUGCUUUCCAGGAUCAUGGCUGUGGAGUCUGAGGUGCCUGAUGGCGAAAAAUACAAUGGUUCCAAGUGCAUUUCAUCUUGGAUCUGAGGUCCUCAGCAGUCUUAGUCAUCACUGUUUUUGUGCCAUCAGGGAAAAUGUCAACAUGGUUGUUAUGGGAUGAGCCAUGAAAUUCAAAAAAGUUUAUCUACACAUUGUGUCAGCAUCACCUGUCCUUGGUGUUAAGAAGUUCUCUAUCCCCAAAGAGCUCUCAAACUGUGCAUGUCCUUUGAUCCAGCAGUAUUGGGUCCUCACAAAAGAGGGAAAAGAACAUGUACAAAAAUGUU